rnacentral:rRNA from 1 species
UACGUAGGGGGCAAGCGUUGUCCGGAAUCAUUGGGCGUAAAGCGCGUGUAGGCGGCUUGGUAAGUCCGCUCUGAAAGCCCGGGGCUCAACCCCGGGAGGCGGGUGGAUACUGUCAAGCUCGAGUCCGGAAGAGGCGAGUGGAAUUCCUGGUGUAGCGGUGAAAUGGCGCAGAUAUCAGGAGGAACACCGAUGGCGAAGGCAGGUCUCUGGGACGGUACUGACGCUGAGACGCGAAAGCGUGGGGAGCGAACAGG